rnacentral:rRNA from 1 species
GACGAACGCUGGCGGCGUGCCUAAUACAUGCAAGUAGAACGAGUUGCGAACGGGUGAGUAACGCGUGGUAACCUGCCUCAUAGCGGGGGAUAACUACCGGAAACGGUAGCUAAUACCGCAUACCAUCAGAUGUGCCCAGCUGGGAUUAGCUAGUUGGUGGGGUAACGGCUCACCUAGGCGACGAUCCCUAGCUGGUCUGAAAGGAUGACCAGCCAAACUGGAACUGGGACACGGUCCAGACUCCUACGGGAGGCAGAAGUGGGAAAUAUUGCACGAUGGGCGAAAGCCUGAUGCAGCCAUUCCGCGUGUAUGAGGAAGGCCUUCGGGUUGUAAAAUACUUUCAGCGGGGAGGCGUUACCCGCAGAAGAAGCACCGGCUAACUCCGUGCCAGCAGCCGCGGUAAUAC